GAUGAACGCUGGCGGCGUGCUUAACACAUGCAAGUCGAGCGAUGAAGUUUCCUUCGGGAAACGGAUUAGCGGCGGACGGGUGAGUAACACGUGGGUAACCUGCCUCAUAGAGUGGAAUAGCCUUCCGAAAGGAAGAUUAAUACCGCAUAACGUUGAAAGAUGGCAUCAUCAUUUAACCAAAGGAGCAAUCCGCUAUGAGAUGGACCCGCGGCGCAUUAGCUAGUUGGUGGGGUAACGGCCUACCAAGGCGACGAUGCGUAGCCGACCUGAGAGGGUGAUCGGCCACAUUGGGACUGAGACACGGCCCAGACUCCUACGGGAGGCAGCAGUGGGGAAUAUUGCACAAUGGGGGAAACCCUGAUGCAGCAACGCCGCGUGAGUGAUGAAGGUUUUCGGAUCGUAAAGCUCUG
rnacentral:rRNA from 1 species